AGUGAACGCUGGCGGUAGGCCUAACACAUGCAAGUCGAACGGCAGCACAGGAGAGCUUGCUCUCUGGGUGGCGAGUGGCGGACGGGUGAGGAAUACAUCGGAAUCUACUUUUUCGUGGGGGAUAAAGUAGGGAAACUUACGCUAAUACCGCAUACGUACUACAGGUGAAAGCAGGGGAUUUUCGGACCUUGGGCGAUUGAAUGAGCCGGUGUCGGAUUAGCUAGUUGGCGGGGUAAAGGCCCACCAAGGCGACGAUCCGUAGCUGGUCUGAGAGGAUGAUCAGCCACACUGGAACUGAGACACGGUCCAGACUCCUACGGGAGGCAGCAGUGGGGAAUAUUGGACAAUGGGCGCAAGCCUGAUCCAGCCAUGCCGCGUGGGUGAAGAAGGCCUUCGGGUUGUAAAGCCCUUUUGUUGGGAAAGAAAUCCAGCUGGUUAAUACCCGGUUGGGAUGACGGUACCCAAAGAAUAAGCACCGGCUAACUUCGCGCCAGCCGCCGCAGUAA
rnacentral:rRNA from 1 species